rnacentral:tRNA from 1 species
GGUGAGGUGCGAGAGUGGUUGAAUCGGGCGGUCUCGAAAACCGCUGAGCUCGAAAGGGCUCCGUGGGUUCGAAUCCCACCCUCACCG